GCUUUCAUUAGCUGCCCAGCAUGAGAUAAAGUGCUUACAGUGCAGGUAGUGAUCAGAACAGUCUACUGCAGUGUGAGCACUUCUCUCCCACGCUGGUCCAAAGCGCC
ensembl:miRNA mir106a microRNA mir-106a